AAACCAUCAGCUCUAGUGAGAACUCACUUCUUAUCAUGAGAACAGCAUGCGGGAAUCCACUCCCAUGAUCACAUCGCCUCCCACCAAGUCCUUCCCUCAACAAGUGGGAUUGUGAGGAUUAUAAUUCAAGAUGAUGCUUGGGUGAGGACACAGAGCCAAACCAUAUCAGCUGGGGUCCUGGACACACAAGACUAACAAUGUCCCCAAGGCCUGGCAGGACCCCAAGGAUGGCUGAGCCACCGUGGAUCUCUGGCUCUUUAAUUUUUAUUGCUGGUAUGGGAAUCCACAGCACAUUUUUGCUCAGGUUUUCCUCUUGAUAGAUGCAGUGGUAGCCAAUCUACCUCAAGGCGUGGGGAGGAUAUUUCAGAUUUUCAGCGUGUCCAUAAAGGCACACUAAACAUGGUUGACAUUUGUGGAAACCCAGUGGGUUCCAAGUCCCACUCUGAGUUAAUGAAUGGUCCAAAUGAGACGCUCGCUUCUAUAACCCAGGCUCUUGCUACUCAAAGUGUCGUUUUGGGGCCAGUAGCAUGGGCCUAAGAGGCUGAAUGUACAAACGGACAGCAGCCAGAGCUCCCAUGACAGCAGAACCCUGCACCGUUGCCUGUCAAAUGACACCCAUUGCACCAAGGAGGGAUGUCUGGCUAAGGCAGGCCAGGGACUUCCACCUCAGGGCGGAGGACGAGGAAUUUGAGCAGGGCUGGGGGCGAGACCUUGUUGAGAAGAGGAGUCAGAGGAGCCUGGCUGGUUUGGUCGAGGAAGGAGUCAUUGUCCAGGCUGCCCGAAGCUCGGUGACUUAAUACAGCCCUUGUGUGGUUGCUCACAGCCUCGUGGGUUGGCUCUGGUGGUUGCUGGCCUAGUGUGGCCUCAUGGACAUGUCUGGGGCCUCAGGUACAUUUAAUUCCAAACCUUGGAGAUGGCUGACAGGGUCAUUCAAUUGAGCCUUUGUAGUGAAGAAACCAUUAAGAGAGUGGAGAGGCUGGAGCCAUGCAAUUUCCAUUGGGAUGAAGAAUCAAAGACUAAUUUUAUUCCGAGAGCGAAGUCGUGCCAAGCGCUUAGCAGGACACAGGCCAGAGUCAUCGUUUCAGCAUAAGGAGCCUGGCGUUUGGGAUGUGAGCAGUUUAGGAGUGGAGGUGAACCCUGAUCUGGCCCCCACAGCAGGGACGCUCUGCCCCUGGUCAUCGGUUGCCUGGUGCGGAGAUGAGACGGUGAUGGAGAAGGGCUGUCGCUGGAGCAGGAGGGGGCCCCACUGCGCAGGGGGUGAGAUACCAGCAUAAUCAUGCAAUAUCUAAAUUAAUACAAACCUAAAGUCUC